CCCCUAGAUGUUCUGGGCCGCACGCGCGCUACACUGAACAGUUCAACAAGUCUUAACCUUGGCCGAUAGGUCUGGGUAAUCUUUGAACGCUGUUCGUGAUUGGGAUAGACCUUUGCAAUUAUGGGUCUUCAACGAAGAAUUCCUAGUAAACGCAAGUCAUCAGCUUGCAUUGAUUACGUCCCUGCCCUUUGUACACACCGCCCGUCGCACCUACCGAUUGAAUGGUCCGGUGAAAUCUCGGGACGGCGGCUUGGUCGCUUGCGUCCGACUGCUGAAACUUGAUUAAACCAUAUCAUUUAGAGGAAGGUGAAGUCGUANCA
rnacentral:rRNA from 1 species